rnacentral:rRNA from 1 species
GAUGAACGCUGGCGGCGUGCCUAAUACAUGCAAGUCGAGCGAACAGACGAGGAGCUUGCUCCUCUGACGUUAGCGGCGGACGGGUGAGUAACACGUGGAUAACCUACCUAUAAGACUGGGAUAACUUCGGGAAACCGGAGCUAAUACCGGAUAAUAUAUUGAACCGCAUGGUUCAAUAGUGAAAGACGGUUUUGCUGUCACUUAUAGAUGGAUCCGCGCCGCAUUAGCUAGUUGGUAAGGUAACGGCUUACCAAGGCGACGAUGCGUAGCCGACCUGAGAAGGUGAUCGGCCACACUGGAACUGAGACACGGUCCAGACUCCUACGGGAGGCAGCAGUAGGGAAUCUUCCGCAAUGGGCGAAAGCCUGACGGAGCAACGCCGCGUGAGUGAUGAAGGUCUUCGGAUCGUAAAACUCUGUUAUUAGGGAGGAACAAAUGUGUAAGUAACUAUGCACGUCUUGACGGUACCUAAUCAGAAAGCCACGGCUAACUACGUG